GAUUCAGUGUGGUGCAAUGGUUUAAGUGUUGGACUAAGGCUCUAGAGACCAAGGUUCAAAUCCCAGCUCAAUCA